GUGGGGAAUAUUGGACAAUGGGGGGAACCCUGAUCCAGCCAUGCCGCGUGUGUGAAGAAGGCCUUUUGGUUGUAAAGCACUUUAAGCGAGGAGGAGGCUACCGAGAUUAAUACUCUUGGAUAGUGGACGUUACUCGCAGAAUAAGCACCGGCUAACUCUGUGCCAGCAGCCGCGGUAAUACAGAGGGUGCAAGCGUUAAUCGGAUUUACUGGUCGUAAAGCGCGCGUAGGUGGCCAAUUAAGUCAAAUGUGAAAUCCCCGAGCUUAACUUGGGAAUUGCAUUCGAUACUGGUUGGCUAGAGUAUGGGAGAGGAUGGUAGAAUUCCAGGUGUAGCGGUGAAAUGCGUAGAGAUCUGGAGGAAUACCGAUGGCGAAGGCAGCCAUCUGGCCUAAUACUGACACUGAGGUGCGAAAGCAUGGGGAGCAAACAGGAUUAGAAACCCCGGUAGUCC
rnacentral:rRNA from 1 species